AUGGUGGCAAAGCGUUUCACAGGAACAGAAAGCCAUGCUCGGGACAAGGUGGACUGCUGGCUGAAAUUACAGUUGAGAUUCAAGAACCAUUAUCACAAUACAGACAUGAAACUGUGGAAUGGAGAUGCAAACUCCUGUGCUUCAAUUAAGGAAAAGCUGCAAAUGGAUGUCACAAGAUUUUGUACUACGUUAGUGACUCCUUGACGCCAAUUGAAUGACUCGGUGUUGCUGUGGUGAGCAAUUUCGAGAUUGGUUCCAGUCAUUGUAGUGCGAAGAACACACCCAGGCUCCAGUCCUAACUCAAACUGAGACCUUGACAGGCACCAUCUCCUCUCAGCAUCUUACACUGUGAGAACUCGAGCCAGAGGAACAGAGCAUGCAAAUAAACUCAAACAGUAAUCUAUCUUCUUUGAACUUUUGAUGAAUUCUCUUUCAACUGCCUACUAUCCCAUGGUCA